AUUGAACGCUGGCGGCAUGCUUUACACAUGCGAGUCGAACGGUAACGGGCCGCAAGGUGCUGACGAGUGGCGAACGGGUGAGUAAUGCAUCGGAACGUGCCCAGUCGUGGGGGAUAACUACUCGAAAGAGUAGCUAAUACCGCAUACGAUCUAUGGAUGAAAGCGGGGGACCGUAAGGCCUCGCGCGAUUGGAGCGGCCGAUGUCAGAUUAGGUAGUUGGUGGGGUAAAGGCUCACCAAGCCAACGAUCUGUAGCUGGUCUGAGAGGACGACCAGCCACACUGGGACUGAGACACGGCCCAGACUCCUACGGGGGGCAGCAGUGGGGAAUUUUGGACAAUGGGCGCAAGCCUGAUCCAGCAAUGCCGCGUGCAGGAAGAAGGCCUUCGGGUUGUAAACUGCUUUUGUACGGAACGAAACGGCUCUGGUUAAUACCCGGGGCUAAUGACGGUACCGUAAGAAUAAGCACCGGCUAACUACGUG
rnacentral:rRNA from 1 species